rnacentral:rRNA from 1 species
AUACGGAGGAUCCGAGCGUUAUCCGGAUUUAUUGGGUUUAAAGGGUGCGCAGGCGGCCAUUUAAGUCAGCGGUUAAAUCGUGGGGCUCAACCCCAUUCUGCCGUUGAUACUGGGUGGCUUGAUUGCGGUCGAGGUUGGCGGAAUUCGUUGUGUAGCGGUGAAAUGCAUAGAUAUGACGAAGAACACCGAUUGCGUAGGCAGCUGACCAGAUCGCAAAUGACGCUCAUGCACGAAAGUGCGGGGAUCGAACAGGAUUAGAUACCCUGGUAGUCCGCACAAUAAACGAUGAAUACUUGUUUUCGGCGAUAUAAUGUCGGAGGCAAAGCGAAAGCGAUAAGUAUUCCACCUGGGGAGUACGCCGGCAACGGUGAAACUCAAAUGAAUUGACGGGG